UUAACAAGCUUGCUCUCGUUGAUAUCUUCGUCCAAGCUCGAGGGGGAGUGUUGGAGAUAUUUUAUGGUGGAGAUAUUUAGGAUACGUUUCCUAAUAUAUUUUAGGUUAUGCUUCGUAAUGAAUUUUCUGAUUUUAUUCCUAGCAUUGAUUGUAAUUGAUUUAGUAGGCUAUUUUUCUUAUUUUCUUAUUUCUUUUCUUGUUCUCCUUAGCUUGUAUAAAUAGAAGUAACUCCAUUGGAAUAAUAUACAUUCAAUUUU
rnacentral:lncRNA from 1 species